UCUGCAGCUCAGUCGUAGUCUGGUUCUGGUGGUGGGCUGUUGCUCUCGCUUCCCUUACUCCCUCUCAUUUCUUUUCUAUCUUACACGCUUUUGGGUGCAUUUAAUGGUUGUAUUUUAACGCAGAGCUUUCUUAAAUAAUAAUAAGACGAUGACGAACGCAGCGUCCAAGUUGAUCAGAGAUACGUCGCGGGUGCUGAAUGUGAGUGAAGCGACAGUAACGAGGGGAGGAAUGUCCCUAUUGAUAGGUGUUUAUAUAUACAAAAUAAUAUAUCCAAAGAUCAGGGAGCUAUGCAGGAGCCAGGCGACAGAGGCAGAGAUAGAGGCAAUUAAAACUAAGGAUAUGUACAAGAGUAAAAAGGGUCCGACUGUGAAUAGAGAAUUUAUUGUGCAGCUGAAAAAGCUAUUAAGAGUUAUAAUCCCAGGUGUAUGGUCUAAGUCAGCGGUGAUCCUCCUGCUACACACCAUGACCCUUGUUACUCGCACCUUUCUCUCCAUAUAUGUGGCGCAGCUGGAGGGAAGAGUUGUCAAGUAUAUUGUGCGGAAGGACGUGGUAAAGUUCUCUCUCAUGAUGACCAAGUGGAUUUCCAUUGCUAUCCCAGCCACUCUAGUCAACUCCUUGAUACGAUUCCUGGAGUCACACCUGGCACUUACUUUUCGUACCCGCCUCACACGCUACUCCUACGAUCUCUACUUCAGGAAUCAAUGUUAUUAUCGUGUCUCCAACCUGGAUGGGCGGAUGGAGAAUGCAGAUCACUGCCUCACUGAAGAUAUUGCAUCCUUCACGUCCAGUGUGGCUCACCUUUACUCCCAUCUCACCAAGCCACUGCUUGACUCACUGCUCAUCACAUACUCUCUUGCCUCCCUGGCCAGGUCUCGUGGUGGAGCCAGCUUGCCAGGUCCAGUAUUAGGUACCUUAGUGGUGAUGCUCACUGGUCGAAUUCUACGAAAAGUUUCACCCAAAUUUGGGCAUCUCGUGUCUGAAGAAGCUCACCGCAGGGGUUAUCUACGCGCCAUCCACUCUCGAAUUAUCACCAAUGCAGAGGAGAUUGCUUUUUAUGGUGGACAUGAGGUGGAGCUUGCUAUCCUACAAAAAGCUUAUCACUCGCUGGUACGGCAAAUGGGGGUGAUCUUCAAUAAGCGCUUAUGGUAUAUCAUGUUUGAGCAGUUCCUCAUGAAGUAUGUUUGGUCAGGUGUUGGCAUGAUAAUGGUCUCCAUUCCUCUCCUCACCUCCAAUAAAAAUGAAAGUGGAGAAAUUGAUGGUGGAGUUUCUGACCGAACCCAGUACUUCACCACUGCCAAAAACAUGUUGGUUUCUGGAGCUGAUGCUGUUGAACGUCUCUUAACUUCAUAUAAAGAAAUUGUUGAGUUGGCUGGUUACACUGCAAGAGUGGGUAACAUGCUUGAAGUAUUUGAAGAUGUGCAGAAAGGCAGAUACAAACGGCCUGCAGUAAUGACAGAAGGAGAGGAGCAGCCAGAACGUGAGCGAUCAGCCCUCCUCACCUUCCAUAAUGGAAUGCCAGUUAUUAACGGUGUGGUUACAGAGAGUGCUGAUGGAACUAUAAUAAUAAACAAUGUUCCCAUUGUGACGCCAAACUGCGAUGUGGUGGUGCCAUCCCUCACCAUCACUGUCACUCCACAAAUGCAUCUUCUCAUCACAGGUCCUAAUGGCUGUGGAAAGAGUUCUUUGUUCCGCAUCUUGAGUGGUUUGUGGCCAGUGUAUUCCGGACACCUCCAGAAACCUGUUGUUUCAGACAUGUUCUACAUACCUCAAAGACCGUACAUGUCAGUGGGGACCCUGCGUGACCAGGUAGCAUACCCAGACUCUCACGAAGACAUGAAGAAGAAGGGCAUCACUGAUGACGACCUAGUAACCAUUCUAGGUAUUGUGAACCUUCAAAACAUUGUUACUCGAGAAGGAGGAUGGGAUGCCGUACAGGACUGGAAGGAUGUCUUGUCUGGAGGAGAGAAGCAGCGAAUGGGGAUGGCCCGACUCUUUUACCACAAGCCACGGUACGCCCUGCUAGACGAGUGCACCAGCGCUGUCAGCAUUGAUGUUGAGGGUCAGAUGUACCAGGCAGUCAAGGACCAAGGCAUCACUCUCCUCACCAUCACACAUCGUCCCACUCUGUGGAAGUUCCACACACAUGUUCUGCAGUUUGAUGGGGAGGGUGGCUGGAAAUUUGAACGACUUGACUCUGAGAAACGUCUUGGGCUAAAAGAGGAGAAACAGCACUUGGAGUCAAUUUUGUCUGAUAUACCUAACAAGCUAGAGAGACUAAAGGAACUGUGCAGUAUCUUAGGAGAAGACUCCCUGCUGGUUGAGGAUGCUUCUCUGCCUGGCUUGGCCAAUGAUGCAACCCUCUCAGACUAAGCCUACUAUCUACAUUAAACAGUGUCGCGCUGUGCUGUCUUUGGUAAUACUGCACUUGUGUGUGGCAUGCACAGAGGGUAUGCAGACAGUAAGUCACAUUAACGUGGCUGAAGAUUAGACACCCGACCCACAAAACUGAAAGUAUAAGAAUUGAGAGUGUUUUGGUCCGUCGUGGACGAUUAUCCAGUCGUGAUACUCCAUGCAUUCUUAUCCUUGGACUGGCACUCAUGCUACUUCAUCAUCGUCUUCACUGUUGAGAAUUUAGUCACUGCUUGAUAUGUUAGACUGUCAAUUGAAAAUGCUCUCCCAAUACCUAUUAUUUUGUUAAAUAUUACAUUGUAUUAUCAUUAUCAUCUGUCAAUCAUUAUUAUGCAAGUUUAAUGUUCAUAAUUUGUCACCUUUUUCAUCAGUAACAUCUUGCCAAAGAUAUCUUGCCAGUCAUUGCCUUAUUUCUGUAAUUGUUAAACAAGUUCUUACUCUUAUGUUAGAAGUAACUUAGAUAUACAUUUAGUCAUUCCCACAUACAAAUUACAAUCCAAUAUUUAGCAAGAGUACAUGCAUUAUCAUUCUUCAUGAAAAUGUGGAAACUAGAAAAAAAUUAGUAAAAUAGUAAAAGAUAAAAUAGUUUUAGAUAAAAUAUUAACAAUCACUCCUGUGUUCCUUAUGUAAUUCACAACACAAUAGAUAGCAUCACAAAUAAGCAAGCACUACACACUCCAAUCUUCCCUUUCUCUUACUACUCUUAUAUUUACUUCAAUCUACCAUUCAACAAGCCCAAAUCAUCUUGGAAUGUACUCUUCACAUUUGCAGGUUGACAACUUCUACAUUCCUCAUGCUUUCAGAUUGCUCAUUUCUACUUCUAUUGCUCUUAACACUAUUGGUCUCUUUGGACAGGACUCGCGUCCAUUAUUUUUCUCAUGAAUCCUAGCUUUGGACCGGACCACUACAAAAAUAUUUGUAUAAAAUUCAUUUUUUAUCCAAUUGACCUCGAGAUAGUAUGAAAAUAAGCGCCUUUAGAAUGCGCACAAUUUGAUACCAAAAUGAAAGAUGUAACACGCAACUUGAUGU
rnacentral:misc_RNA from 1 species